rnacentral:rRNA from 1 species
AACGAACGCUGGCGGCAGGCCUAACACAUGCAAGUCGAACGAGUAAGAGCCGUAGCAAUACGGAGUUCUGCUAGUGGCGCACGGGUGAGUAACGCGUGGGAACGUGCCUUGGAGUUUGGGAUAACAGUUGGAAACGACUGCUAAUACCGAAUAUUCCCUCAGGGGGAAAGAUUUAUCGCUCCAAGAUCGGCCCGCGUAAGAUUAGGUAGUUGGUGGGGUAAUGGCCUACCAAGCCUACGAUCUUUAGCUGGUCUGAGAGGACGACCAGCCACACUGGAACUGAGACACGGUCCAGACUCCUACGGGAGGCAGCAGUGGGGAAUAUUGGACAAUGGGCGAAAGCCUGAUCCAGCCAUGCCGCGUGAAUGAUGAAGGCCUUAGGGUUGUAAAAUUACUUUUGUCAGGGGAAGAGUAAUGACGGUACCCGUGCGAAUAAGCUCCGGCUAACUUCGUGCCAGCAGCCGCGGUAA